GUGCCAGCAGCCGCGGUAAUACAGAGGGUGCAAGCGUUGUUCGGAAUUAUUGGGCGUAAAGCGCGUGUAGGUGGCUUUCUAAGUCUGGUGUGAAAGCCCGGGGCUCAACCCCGGAAGUGCACUGGAUACUGGAAAGCUAGAGGGCGAGAGAGGAGAUUGGAAUUCAUGGUGUAGGGGUGAAAUCCGUAGAUAUCAUGAGGAACAUCUGUGGCGAAGGCGAAUCUCUGGCUCGUUUCUGACACUGAGACGCGAAAGCGUGGGGAGCAAACAGGAUUAGAUACCCUGGUAGUCC
rnacentral:rRNA from 1 species